UGAGGAAGCAGGAAAGCGCUUCAGUGUC
rnacentral:piRNA from 1 species